GUUACUUCGGUAGCACGUACUAAAAUUGGAAUGAUAGAGAGGAUUAGCAUGGCUCCUCUGAACAAGGAUGGCACGCACAUACGUGAAGUGAUCCUCAUUUUU